AUUGAACGCUGGCGGCAGGCUUAACACAUGCAAGUCGAGCGGGGUGAGGUGCUUCGGUACUGAUCCUAGCGGCGGACGGGUGAGUAAUGCUUAGGAAUCUGCCAUUUAGUGGGGGACAACAUUCCGAAAGGGAUGCUAAUACCGCAUACGUCCUACGGGAGAAAGCAGGGGAUCUUCGGACCUUGCGCUAAAUGAUGAGCCUAAGUCGGAUUAGCUAGUUGGCGGGGUAAAGGCCUACCAAGGCGACGAUCUGUAGCGGGUCUGAGAGGAUGGACCGCCACACUGGGACUGAGACACGGCCCAGACUCCUACGGGAGGCAGCAGUGGGGAAUAUUGGACAAUGGGCGGAAGCCUGAUCCAGCCAUGCCGCGUGUGUGAAGAAGGCCUUUUGGUUGUAAAGCACUUUAAGCGAGGAGGAGGCUACCUGGAUUAAUACUCUGGGAUAGUGGACGUUACUCGCAGAAUAAGCACCGGCUAACUCUGUGCCAGCCGCCGCGGUAAUAC
rnacentral:rRNA from 1 species